UUCAAUAUCACCGGGGAUGAACAACUUUUGUCACGUGACCGCAAAAGUCAACGCCGGUUGCAGAAACAGAUUGUAAUCUUGUACAUUAAGAAACAUGACGCUCGUGUGUGAAAUCUGUGGAAAGACAUUUAAAUCGAAGUGGGGGUUAAAGCUUCAUGAUAAGCGCCACAGAGGGACUGGACGAUUCGCCUGUUGUGGAAAAACAUUUUACACAAAACAGGCGUUCAACAGACACAGAUGCAGCAUUCAUGGUGUUGAAAAGCCGUUCCCCUGUGAACAAUGCGGCAAAAAGUUUUCAACCAAAGAUGACCUGAAUCGUCACGUCCGGAGGGAGGUUGCUGCAAAGCAAUUUACCUGCUCAAUUUGCAAUGCAACGCUCCGGGAGAAAAUUGACCUUCAGGCCCACCUUGCCACCCACAAUGGAGAGAAAAACUUUGCUUGUGAUAUGUGUGAAAAGAGGUACAGGCACCGCAGUAGUCUAUCAAAGCACAGAUCUGCAAAGCACCGGGCCUAGUCAUCUGUUGCAUGACGAUGAUAAGACCAAGAAUUAUUUUUAAUUCUUACCAAUGUGCCGUGGUUAUUUUCUUAAUUAUUGAAAAUACAGACUGUCAUACAAUAAUAUAUAGUAUUACGCGUGUUUUUGCGUCUUAAACAUUGUGUUUCAUAUCGUUUAUCUUGUGUUGUUUUGUUUGAUAUUCCUGUUUUUAAUAAGAUUAUUGUUGUAAUAUUUAUCAUUCUAAUUUAAAAUGAUUAUGAUAAUGGUUGAUCUCAUACAAAUUAUUGUGUUCAUUAUUGCUCAUCUGUGAUUACUGUUGAUCUCAGCCCAUGAAUUGUGAUUUAUAUUGAUUAUCUGUGAUUAUUGUUGAUCUUAUCAAAAUAAUUGUAAUUUAUGUUGAUUAUCUUUGAAUUUUUUAUCUUAACCUAUUAAUAGUGAUUUAUAUUAUCUGUGAUUAUUGUUGAUCUUAUCAAAAUCAUUGUGAUUUAUGUUGAUUAUCUGUGAUUAUUGUUGAUCUCAACCGAUUAAUUGUGAUUUAUAUAACCAGUGAUUAUUGUUGAUCUUAUCAAAAUCAUUGUAAUUUAUGUUGAUUAUCUGUGAUUAUUGUUGAUCUUUUCGAAAUCAUUGUAAUUUAUGUUGAUUAUCUGUGAUUAUUGUUGAUCUUUUCGAAAUCAUUGUAAUUUAUGUUGAUUAUCUGUGAUUAUUGUUGAUCUUUUCAAAAUCAUUGUAAUUUAUGUUGAUUAUCUGUGAUUAUUGUUGAUCUCACCAUAUCCGCUGGAAUAUACAUUUGAGCCGCGCUCUGUGAAAAGGGGGUUUAAUGCAUGUGCGUAAAGUGCAGUCCACAUAGGCUAAUCAGGGACGGCACUUUCCGCUUUUAUGAUAUGUUUUGUUAAAAGAAAGUCUCUUCUGAGCAAAAAUCGAGUUUAUCGGAAAGGUUUGUCCCUAAUUAGCCUGUACGGAAUGCACAGGCUAAUAUGUGACGACACCUUACGCACAUGCAUUAAACCCCCUUUUCACAGAGCGAGACUCAUUUGUAAUCUGCGAUUUUUGUUUAUCUAUUUCGAAUCAAUAUGAUUAAAAUAUAUUUUUGGUGAGUUAGCUUUUUGUCUCAUUGGAAUCAUUGUGCGAAUUGUCAACAAUUACAUGUAAAUCUGUAAUUCCUUCUCAAGUUGCACAUAGGCCAGUUUAAUGUUUUGCGUAUAAGCUAUUAUUGCGAUACGGGAUAUUCUUUGCAGCAAUAAAACAAUUAAUCUGCA